CCGGACUGGACUCCUAAAGCGUUCGCCGACUACUCUCGGCCAAAUUUAAAAGGCGGAGGUCUGAGCGGUCCAUUCCCUUGGAGCGCGAAAGUGCCCGUAGGGCGGCUUCCAGCUGGUCGCGGUCCUGACCUAGGCACAAGACUGAUGACUUCCGAUGUCUGUAAGAGUAAAGAUGCAUGGAAAUAUUUAAAGGAAGGAAAGAGUGAAUGAUUGAAAAUAGGCCUGACCCUAACCUUUGCAGGGUCCAAGGCAGGAAUAUACAUGGAGGCAUACAUACCAUGUGUCUUGAUAUUUAAAUGUGCAAAUCAAUGUAAUAAACUGUGAAAUAAGAUUCAACCUUUCUGUCUUGGCAAACAUACUUUUGUAGGUCAGAAGGCCAGAGCUGGAUUUAGAAUUCUCAGAUUCCUUGGAGUUCUGCUCUGGAUAUGGUAGAUGGGGGAGGCAUUCAAGUGCCUACCCCAUUCCUUUUCACUCCUUGCUCCACUAAGCAUUGUGAGGUGACACAUGUGCACAGUUGUGGAAACCCCAGCAAAAACAUACUUCAUCCAUCUUCACCCUCAUAAAUAGCUUCCUCUUUACCUCACCUCAGGCCUGGUGGUCUACACACUGGAACCAGGAACAAGGCCCACAGAGGCCCACAGAAGCAGGCACAGGGCCAUUUGGGCAGGAGAUUCUGGGGUCACCAAGCCUCACAGCAUGUUGUAGAAGAGGGGAGGCAUGAACCCAGGAGAGCACAUGUCCCAGCCUCCGCAAACUCCUUGCUCGGGGCAGAAGGGUAUGACCA